rnacentral:lncRNA from 1 species
GGAAAAAUGGAGAAGCAGAGCCUCGAUGAGUUAAAUCUGGAUGCAGUCUCUCUAAAAUAUGAUUAAGUAGAAAAAAAGGAAAGCAGUCAAAGUGGUAUUUUAAUGCCAAAAGCAGCAAGUGAAGAAUGUUGCUGGCUUCUCUCUUAAUCCAUAAAAAUCCCACAGCUGGAAUGUAUACGGAAUAAUCCUAUAUGAAAGAAAUACAGGAAGAGAGAGAGAAGCCACAUUGGCUUAUAACAAUCUAUGGGUGUUAAGCUAUGCGCAUCACCAAAAAAAAGAAAAAAGAAUGGAAAAAAUUCCCCAAACAGGUAGCCAGACAGGAAUGGAUUUUCUGCUGGUCUAAUUACCUCUAAUUUUGGUCCCACGAUAUCUUACCAACCUUGCCA